rnacentral:rRNA from 1 species
AACACAUGCAAGUCGAGGGGCAGCGGGAUGUAGCAAUACAUUGCCGGCGACCGGCGGAUGGGUGCGUAACGCGUAUGCAACCUACCUUAUACAGGGGAAUAACCUUUCGAAAGGGAGACUAACACCCCAUGGUAUUGAUUUAAGGCAUCUUAGAUUAAUUAAAUAUUUAUAGGUAUAAGAUGGGCAUGCGUAUGAUUAGCUAGUUGGUAAGGUAACGGCUUACCAAGGCGACGAUCAUUAGGGGUUCUGAGAGGAAGGUCCCCCACACUGGUACUGAGACACGGACCAGGCUCCUACGGGAGGCAGCAGUGAGGAAUAUUGGUCAAUGGGCGCAAGCCUGAACCAGCCAUGCCGCGUGCAAGGAAGACGGCCUUAUGGGUUGUAAACUGCUUUUACAUAAGACUAACCGUAUAUUUGCGAAUAUACCUGAAUGUAUUAUGAGAAUAAGGAUCGGCUAACUCCGUGCCAGCCGCCGC